UGAUCAAAGAUGACCUCUGUUUACAAGUUAUCGUUUGGAGAUGGACUUGCGCCUCAUUAGCUAGUUGGUGAGGUAACGGCCCACCAAGGCUUUGAUGGGUAGCCGGCCUGAGAGGGUGUACGGCCACAUUGGGACUGAGAUACGGCCCAGACUCCUACGGGAGGCAGCAGUAGGGAAUUUUGCGCAAUGGACGAAAGUCUGACGCAGCAACGCCGCGUGAGUGAUGAAGGUCUUCGGAUUGUAAAGCUCUGUUGAGUGGGAAGAACAGUUCCGGGAAUAAUACCUCGGAAUUUGACGGUACCACUUGAGGAAGCCCCGGCUAACUACGUGCCAGCAGCCGCGGUAAUACGUAGGGGGCAAGCGUUGUUCGGAAUCACUGGGCGUAAAGGGAGCGUAGGCGGGGAAAUAAGUUAGAAGUUUAAUGUACGGGCUUAACCCGUAAUCUGCUUCUAAUACUGUUUUUCUUGAGUAUGGGAGAGGGAGAUGGAAUUCCAGGUGUAGCGGUGGAAUGCGUAGAUAUCUGGAAGAACACCAGCUGCGAAGGCGGUCUCCUGGCCCAAUACUGACGCUGAGGCUCGAAAGCUAG
rnacentral:rRNA from 1 species